rnacentral:snRNA from 1 species
AGCUUUGCACAGUGGCAGUGUCAUAGCCCAUGAGGUUAAACUGAGGCAUGGGUAUUACUUUAUUAAGUAUUUAUAUAUCACUAGCAUUGUACCUAACACUGGACAAUCAUUAGAGACAGGUUCCUG